UCUUUUUCUUUCUCCUUUUCCAAACUAUGAUGUGUUUACUAAAAAAAAGCUCUGUGCCUGGUGAAAAUACAGUAGGCAUAGGCUGUGAUUCUUUGCGCGUGAACAGCUCGCAACUGUCAAGGCAUACUGUCACCGUAACAUCCUGCGCCUGUGUGCAAAAAGGGGUGGAAGAGAGUGGGAACAGGCGUGAUCUCGUGCUCAGACUCGACGGCGCGUUCCUGACCGACGGCGAACUCUGCCAUGAAGGUGCUAGUUAGUUAUGGUGGGCGAAAAGCGGUAGUGUCGGGGGAGCUGACAUCACCACAAUGGAAGACACAAUUGGUGCCGCUGCCGCGCUACUGAGCAUACCAGAGAAAGAACUAAACAAGAAGAGACCAACGAGACAACAAUGGGCACCACAAAAGCCACGCCUACCGAUGUCCCGUCACGCGAAUCUGGACCCACCGGGAAGCGUCUACCAUUGGUCACUUGGAGGAACGCUAGCCACUGGUGAAGCAGACACACAUUAUAGAUGUCACUGUCAGUCCGAGGAGAGAGAAAGACACAACAUGCCAGCGAAAGCGCCAAUGGACAGCCCUGUAGGUAUCAUAACAACAGCAACAUCAAGCAAAAAGAAGUUGGAAACAAUGUAGUUCGUAGUACCUACAAUGUUCGCUAUCUACUUCGACGGCACGUUUCAUACUUAAAAGUUUGUUCAAUAAAACAUUAAGUUUAUUUUCUUCACCACUGUCAACAAUAGCUAACUACGA